rnacentral:lncRNA from 1 species
GACUUAUUCAACUUCUAGGAUAUGGCCUGUGGUUGCAGUACAUUGAUUCUGAAGAUGGCCCAGAUCUUCACUCAUAUCCUGAUGUCCUUUAGCGUGUCACUUUGCAGCUCCUCCCAUGAAACGAUCAAGUCUAUUUCCCUACACCUUAAAAGUGGGUUGGACUUAUCUUUAUUUAUUCCUGGAGAGGACACUCUUGGUGCCCCACCCAUCCUCCCUCCUCCUUGCUACUUUAGCCUACCUGAAUUCCAAAUGUACCUGUGUUUCUUUGCCUGAGAACUCACUCUGAUUGCCAAAGCCUGAUUUGUCUGCUCUGAUGGCUUAAAAAUAGAUUCACACAUUUUUUAAUACUCCUCCCUCCCCUUUUCUUGAACGUGGGCCAAACUUUAUGACUUGACUCGCUUCUAUCAAAUAGAAUGUGGUGGAAAUGACAGUGUGACUUUCAAGACUAGGCCAUAAAAGGCCCUGUGGUCUCAUGGUCUCUCUUGGAUCACUCAUUUUGGGGUCAGCAUAUGCCUUGUUGUGGGGACACUCAAGCAGUCAAAUGGAGAAGUUGAUAUGGUGAGGAACUGAGGCCUCCAACCAACAGCCAGCACUGACCAGCCAGCUGUGCAAGUGAACCACCCUAGAAGCAGGUCCUCCAGCCUCAGUCAAACCUUCAGAUUACUAAAUCCCUGCCCAUUUCUUAAAUGCAACCUCAUGAGGAACCUCAAGCCAGAACUCACCAGCUAAGCUAUUCCAAAUUUCUUCACCCUUG